rnacentral:rRNA from 1 species
UACGGAGGAUCCAAGCGUUAUCCGGAAUCAUUGGGUUUAAAGGGUCCGUAGGCGGCCCCGUAAGUCAGUGGUGAAAUCCUUCGGCUCAACCGGAAAAUUGCCAUUGAUACUGCAGGGCUUGAAUUAUUGGGAAGUAACUAGAAUAUGUAGUGUAGCGGUGAAAUGCUUAGAGAUUACAUGGAAUACCGAUUGCGAAGGCAGGUUACUACCAAUGGAUUGACGCUGAUGGACGAAAGCGUGGGGAGCGAACAGG